AGAGUUUGAUCCUGGCUCAGAAUCAACGCUGGCGGCGUGCCUAACACAUGCAAGUCGAACGCGAGAGGGGCUUCGGCCCCGAUUGAGUGGCAAACGGGUGAGUAACGCGUGGGUGACCUACCUUCGAGUGGGGGAUAACGUCUCGAAAGGGACGCUAAUACCGCAUGACAUCCUGCCUUUGGACAGGCGGAGAUCAAAGCCGGGGACCGCAAGGCCUGGCGCUUGGAGAGGGGCCCGCGUCCGAUUAGCUGGUUGGUGGGGUAACGGCCUACCAAGGCGACGAUCGGUAGCCGGCCUGAGAGGGCGGACGGCCACACUGGGACUGAGACACGGCCCAGACUCCUACGGGAGGCAGCAGUGGGGAAUUGUUCGCAAUGGGCGCAAGCCUGACGACGCAACGCCGCGUGGAGGAUGAAGGUCUUCGGAUUGUAAACUCCUGUUGAUCGGGACGAACAUCUUUCGGGAUAACACCCUGAAGGACUGACGGUACCGGUUGAGGAAGCCCCGGCUAACUCUGUGCCAGCAGCCGCGGUAAUACAGAGGGGGCAAGCGUUGUUCGGAAUACUGGGCGUAAAGGCGCGUAGGCGGCCGGCUAAUCAAACGUGAAAUCCCUCGCUCACCGGGAACUGCGUCUGAUACUGGUCGGCUUGAAUCCGGGAGAGGAAUGCGGAAUUCCAGGUGUAGCGGUGAAAUGCGUAGAUAUCUGGAGGAACACCGGUGGCGAAGGCGGCAUUCUGGACCGGCAUUGACGCUGAGGCGCGAAAGCCAGGGGAGCAAACGGGAUUAGAUACCCCGGUAGUCCUGGCCCUAAACGAUGAGUGCUUGGUGUGGCGGGUAUCGAUCCCUGCCGUGCCGAAGCUAACGCAUUAAGCACUCCGCCUGGGGAGUACGGUCGCAAGGCCGAAACUCAAAGGAAUUGACGGGGGCCCGCACAAGCGGUGGAGCAUGUGGUUUAAUUCGACGCAACGCGAAGAACCUUACCCAGGCUCGAAAUGCAGGUGAUCGACGGCGAAAGUCGUUUUCCGCAAGGACACCUGUAUAGGUGCUGCAUGGCUGUCGUCAGCUCGUGUCGUGAGAUGUUGGGUUAAGUCCCGCAACGAGCGCAACCCUUAUCUGCUGUUGCCAUCAGGUUAUGCUGGGCACUCUGCGGAGACUGCCGGUGAUAAACCGAAGGAAGGUGGGGAUGACGUCAAGUCAGCAUGGCCUUUAUUUCUGGGGCUACACACGUGCUACAAUGGCCGGUACAAAGCGUCGCGAUCCCGCGAGGGGGAGCUAAUCGCAUAAAGCCGGUCUCAGUUCGGAUUGUAGGCUGCAACUCGCCUGCAUGAAGUUGGAAUCGCUAGUAAUCGCAGAUCAGCAGGCUGCGGUGAAUACGUUCCCGGGCCUUGUACACACCGCCCGUCACAUCACGAAAGCUGGCUGUACUAGAAGUUGCUGCGCCAACCCGCAAGGGAGGCAGGUACCUAAGGUAUGGUUAGUGAUUGGGGUGAAGUCGUAACAAG
rnacentral:rRNA from 1 species